GAAGAAAAGAAAGAAAAAGAGCAAAAAAUAGAAAGAAAAGGUUCAUUUUCAAUGAAAUUCAAAAAGCCCCGAAGUUCUUCUGAUUCUCCUUCUUUUAUUCACUCUUUCUCUCCUUCUUUCUCUCCU
rnacentral:ribozyme from 13 species